rnacentral:rRNA from 1 species
AUGCAGCAGGGUACAUGCCGCAUCAGGAGGGUGGCGGAGCUCCUAGAUGAAGGGGGCUCAUGGCGCAUGGAUCUUAUUCGACGCUACUUCCUCCCAGCAGACAUUGACGCAAUCACAAGCAUCCGGACAUCACCACGCAUCACCGAUGAUAUCAUCGCUUGGGCACCAGAGAAGAAUAGUACCUUCGCCGUUCGCUACGCCUACCACCUUGCCAUGGAUGAGCACGAGUGCCCAUUGGCUACCGCCAUGAGCAGGGCACUGGAUUGUCGUUGCACAAUCUGGAAGAUCAUAUGGGGGUGCCCUGCUCCCCCUGAUGUACACGUCUUUGCAUGGAGAGUUGUGACCAAUAAAUUUUCACGCCGUGUCGAGCUUAUUGACAUAUGUCCCCUCUAUGGCAUGGAACGAGAGGAUGGAUUCCACGCAUUCUACAGGUGCCCACUGGAUAGCGAGCUAUGGUGUGCCAUGGCGCGUUGGAAUGGAACAUCCUCAAACUGGAGUCCAUCAAUAACCCCGGACCAGAAUGGAUCUUCACACUGCUGGAACCCCUGGAUGACACAGCGAGGCUGGUUGUGCUUAUGA